GGAAGGGUGGCCCAGUGGUCAGGGUGCUAGCCAGAGACCUGGGUUCAAUUCCCUCCUCUGCUA
rnacentral:tRNA from 1 species